AUUGAACGCUGGCGGCAUGCUUUACACAUGCAAGUCGAACGGUAACAGGCCGCAAGGUGCUGACGAGUGGCGAACGGGUGAGUAGUGCAUCGGAACGUGCCCAGUCGUGGGGGAUAACGCAGCGAAAGAUGUGCUAAUACCGCAUACGAUAUAUGGAUGAAAGCGGGGGAGCGUAGGGCCUCGCGCGAUGGGAGCGGCCGAUGUCAGAUUAGGUAGUUGGUGGGGUAAAGGCCUACCAAGCCGACGAUCUGUAGCUGGUCUGAGAGGACGACCAGCCACACUGGGACUGAGACACGGCCCAGACUCCUACGGGAGGGAGCAGUGGGGAAUUUUGGACAAUGGGCGCAAGCCUGAUCCAGCAAUGCCGCGUGCAGGAAGAAGGCCUUCGGGUUGUAAACUGCUUUUGUACGGAACGAAACGGUCUGGGUUAAUACCCUGGGCUAAUGACGGUACCGUAAGAAUAAGCACCGGCUAACUACGUGCCAGCCGCCGCCGUAACAC
rnacentral:rRNA from 1 species